AAGGAAGGUGCAAGCUUUUGGGAUUUCUGUUUGGAUUUAGUUUAGGUUCAAAAGAGCACGCACAGAUCCUGAGUGUUGUCAAGCACCCGUGACUGGGAAACGGAGGCGUCCGAUCCGUAUUGGAGUCAAUUCGCCACUUAAUUGAACACAGCCUCGAAGGGAAGGGCCAUAUUUGUGGGCCUGUCUAACAAUUAAGAGUGACCACAUGGAAUGGGGGAUGAAAGGGUUAAAGAAGAACAAAUAUUGAACACAGCUUUUCUAUGAACAAACUGCAGGCAGCUGCUGCUUUGCAAGGGGAACUUCUUGGCUGCCAUUUCUGGAUGUCAAGGCUGCAGAUACACUGGUCAGGACCCUGGGUAGAGAGAGAUGCGUCAGAAUGCGGCUCCUUUCAGAAAGGCUUCUCCGGAGAAAAACCCUUUGAAAAGAUUCAGCACGUUGCCAUGGAGAACAUCCCACUGAAGGAAUGUAUAGAAGUAGCAGGUGUCAGCUGCCUACCAGUUGCUUUCAUCUCUAGAAAUCUGUGACUUGCAGUAUGACAAGAACAAAAGGUGACAAUACAAAGGACAAAGGGCAAGGAAUACAGACGGAGAAGCCGCUUAGAGUCUAGGAUGGCAGAGGUUCUCUUGAUCAUUUCAUUUUUGAGCGCUUGUAGAGCUUUGGUGUACCAGAGGUGCUUGAACAGCUUACCACACCACAGAUGAAUGGCCUUUGGAUUUCUCCUAAGAAAAUGGGUUGAACCGAACUGGCGAUGCACUGUCUGGAUUGGAUGCAUGUAUGGUCUUACAUGACCCCCAUGAAAGGUUCAUUCAACCCCCCAAAGGGGUUGUGACCCACAGAUUGAGAACCGCUGGUACAGAAGAUCUUCACAUCACCUGAGAGCUUGCCUUGGAAGAAAUUGCAAAAGUUUUGUCUUUCUCAAAGGCUUCUUGCUUGGAAGUUCUUUUUUCACACAGGUAUCCACCAUGCAGUGGCACGUAUAAGAAGACCAUCACCAGACCUAGUGAGGCCAAUGUCACAGCCUUGAGAAAUAUCCAGAACGAUGAGUGAAGCCAACCUUGUUUUACUUUUCCCAUGAUGCUAGCUUGUCUCAGGUUCACUGCAGCAAUAUCUCAAGAAGCUUACGAUGCGCACACACGAGUCAGUACACGUACCAAUGGCGUUUAUUAAAUCCCUCUGCUAAGCAUCUGCUCAAAC
rnacentral:lncRNA from 1 species